rnacentral:lncRNA from 1 species
AUGGCUCUCCUCUACAGUCUUGGUGCCGAUGAGAUCCCGCAGGAGAUGCUGGGGGCCCUUCUCCUCCAGGUCCACUCCAGCCUCUGGGCCAUGCGAUGGGCCCUGGGCCCCGGGACUCUGGCUGGGGCCUGGCCCAGGCCUGCCCGGCUCCUCGGGGCCCAGGUAGCCCCUGGACCUUGCAGCCUCCUGCUUCACCACCUUCCUGGGUUUCUGCUGCUGCCCGUCCUCUCUGACGCCUGGGGUCAAGUCCACUUCCUUCCUCUUCUCGCCCCGGCGCCAUCGCCGGCCGCUGGGGCGGGGCCGGCCUCUGAAGCGGGAGCCAGGGGGCCGUGGUCCGUCCUCCUCCUCAGACUCGGAGGCGGCGCAGUCGCAGUGCUGGGGCCCGCCGUCUGCGGCGCCCGGGGCCGGGCCGCGCCCGCCUGCCCGGUUCUUCUGCUGCACGAUCUUGUGGAUGAGCUCCUUGCUCCAGGUGCCGCCCCGCGCCCGCCUCCGCCUGCAGUCCUGGCCGGGGGACAGUCGGAGGCGCCGGGAGCUCCUGGUCUCCACCAGCGGGGCCCGGCCCCGGGGUCUGUGUGGCUCUUGGGGGCCUGGGUUCUGAGAUCCCGCGGGCGGGCCUCAGCCCGGCCUUUCCUCCGUGGCCUCAGGCGGGUGGCCCUGGAGCCCCUGCCAGGCCUCUUGGUGGUGUUAACCGUGUCCAGCUCUUUCCGGAACAACUUGAACCGCUUUCCUCUCCUCUGCUGGCCAGCCAGGCUGGCCCCAUCUGUCUCUGCAGGUGCUGGGCCCAGGGAGCGGGUUUUGGGCCUGGGGCCGGCCGGGUUGCCCCCAUCCCCGGGCUGGCGGGGCUGGGUCUCCAGCGGGACAUCCACUGCUGGGGGCAGGGCUGGGGCUGGGGCUUUGUUCUCUGGUGUCGCCCCCAGCCUGGCCUUGGGCGGCUGCCCGGCAGCGGAGCCCUUGGGGCCGGAAGGUUCCUCGUCGGUGAAGACGUCAAUGAAGCUGCUGUCGAUUUCGGGGUUGUCAGACUGGUACUCCAGGCCAUUGAGCGCCUCCGUGAUGAGGCUGUCCAGCUUGGCAGCGUCCUCCAGGUCCAGGUCCCCUGUGGGGAGUGGGAAGGGGGUGGCGGUGGGGCCAGGCAGGAAGCUCGUCCUCAGGGGGUCGUCUCUGCCAUCAGGCCGGAGGUCUCCGCCCAGCAGGAAGGGAGCUGUCCUGGCAUGGCUGAGCGGGCUUGGGGUCCUGCCAGCUGGCACUCUGGGGGGCGCAGGGAGCCCCGGGGGCUGCUGGUGGCUGUCCUGGGCCCUGGCUGGCAGCAGGCCGCAGAACUGCCGGUGGCCCAGGAAGGCGGCCAGGCUGCUGUAG